ACCCACCCACCCGCUCUCUUUUAGCAAGGGACGAGUUAAUUGAUUUGUUUACUGGCACAACCGUCAAAAUACCGGUACUUUACCCCGACCCCUCUGUUACCCCUCAGUAAGGGGUUACCCCUUACCCCGGGGUUACCCACCUCCCUUCGUACCCACCCUUCGUACCCGUUACCCACCAGGUUACCCACCUCCCUCCGUACAAAGCAACAUUUGUAACCACUUACCCCUGCCCCUACCCCUUGGGUAACGCUGAAGGGGGGGUUUACCCCCAGUUUAUGCCAGGGGGUCAAGGACAACAACUCGGGAGAGCCACCCUGCCGAUUGAGCUGCUGGCGUUAACACCGGUAAUCCGACCCGUUGAAGUACUCGUUGGCUUUACACACUGGAAAAGGACAGGGACAGCAAGGUGAGUAGGAGAUUGGAAAUAUGGCUACUCAAAGCUGCACAUCUUGCUGAAACCCGCACGGUUAUCCCCCACGGUUACCACAAAAAACACGCAAGCUGAUACACAUACGUGCAGACCUUACACCUCUCCUGCAAGGUAAGCCUACCUGGCUCGCCUCCAUGCAUGCAGCUCGCUCGAGCUCCACAACUACCACCCCCUCGAUCUACCUGCCCAGGCCCAUGAUCGUCCCAUGCACGUGCAGGCCUCAGUUGGGGGCGCGGCAAGGGAACUUCGAAGGUCGCCUUGGCUGGCAAGUCAUCAUGCUGCGCUUAUCACGUCAUCUUUGGUGAGAGGAGUACGGUAACCAAGUCCUGCCCCACGUACCGGAAUUGAAACCAACACACGUGAGACACUUCUAAGUGUUCCCCUUACAGAGCUUUCGUAAAAUUCCUUAAGUCCAGCGAUUCCGGAUGCGCGCCUGAGAGUUUCCGUACGACUGGCCGCCAAAUGCCGCGCAAACUAAAGAAAUGGUCCAACAUAAAAGCAAGAUAUCACGCUGAGACUGGUUAAUCCUAUCAUAUAUAUUUUAUAGUUUUUAUUAUUGUUCGUUUUUAGUGACAGUUGUAUGUGUAGUGACUCAACGGCGCGGUUGUGCGCGUGCGCGGUGGGCCUUUUGGCCGUCACCAAUUUUCAGAACACGUGAAAAUCCAGACCUAUUUCCCGCGUGAGCUGUCACCAAUUGGCAUGUGCGAAGGCAAUUUCCGAAGGCGUUUUUUGGCUCUCGCCAAAUGGAAAUCAUCAAAUCACCUUGGCAAUACAGUACCUUAUGCUAUGCAAAGGUCCCGGACCCUUAGGGACCCGAUACCAUACGGCAUCCCGGGACCCAUACAUUUCAUUGCAGGUUAUAACGAUGCAAAUGUUGCAAAUAUAUACUAUUAAAUUCGUUAACUCUAAACUGGUAAGCAGAGACCGGAGGUAAGCAGAGACACACGCCACUAGCUUGCAUUCAACUUCUUCAAAACCAUGAGAUCAAAGGAGGUCCAAUAUAUAUAUCAGUGGCAAUCAUAUGGUCGUGUGUCGUUAACUACUUGAUUGACGCUACUUGCACCCAUGCUGAACGAGUCAAUGUCAUUCCUGUCAGCGGAGCAAACGUAAUGAAAACUAUAAAGUGAACCUGCAAAUCCGUGAAAACAGAGAAGCGGCCCGAACCCGGCCCCAACCCGGCUCCCACGGCCUAAGGCUCCGUGCAUUGUAGAAACGCGG
rnacentral:lncRNA from 1 species